UACCAAUCGGUUAUUGGCUAGUUUAGG
rnacentral:sRNA from 1 species